UUUGCUGGAAACCAGCAAUCGAUUUUCUUAUUGCUGGAUUUUUCAGCAUUCGGUUGUGUUCUUGUCAUUUUUGCUGGAAAAUCAGCAAUCGGUUUUCAAAUUGCUGGACUUUCCAGCAAUCGGUCUAGUUUGCUGGAAAAUCAGCAAUCGAGUUGUCAAAUUGGAGUCUGUUUGUUUUCGUACGCUGAAGCAAGCAACCAGACAUCAAGUCAAGGGUGGCGGAUGAUUAUCACAUUGGCACAAAGCUGCCACCCCGGAGGCGGUAUUAGUAUAUUGACAAAACAUAUGUCUCUGCUAAUUCAUUUAAUUCAUAAUAAAAAAAUGGAAGAAAAAUAUGUUGUUUAUUACUUAUCAUGUGCACAGCCAGUUUCAAUAUUUAAAUUUGAUUUGAAAAAUAAAUUUGAUACCAA